GGGUUAGUAGGUUGGUCAUGCCUCUGGUAUGCACUGGUCUCACUGAUUCCUCCUUCCUGAUGAGCCGUAAUGCCAUUAAUUUGGUGUUGCGGGGAAUUUGGACUGUUACUUUGAAAAAAUUAGAGUGUUCAAAGCAGGCUUAUGCCCGAAUACAUUAGCAUGGAAUAAUGAAAUAGGACGUUCGAUCCUAUUUUGUUGGUUUCUAGGAUUGACGUA
rnacentral:rRNA from 1 species